GGAUGGCUCAGUCAGCAGAGCAUGAGGUUCUUAACCUCAAUGUUGUGGGUCUGAGCCCCAUGUUGGGCA